UUUUCAUCUUAAUCUGACUGAUAGAACUUUAGAUAUCAUAGAAAUCCUCCCCAACCUCAAACUGCCACCUUUCAAAAUCCUCUUGUGCUAAAAACUAGAUAUCUUUGAAUUACACCGUUAGAUGAUUACAAAAUUCUAUAUACACUUAGUACACCCAAUAAUCCAAAUAACAAUAAAUUUUCAACCAUAGAUGUCACAUCAAUUGCACGAACUAGCCAAAAUUGCUAGCCCUAAUUAUAUUAUAUAAAAUCCAAAUCACUAAUACAAAUCCUAACUUUAAACAAUAAUUUCCAAGUCUUCUAAAAUC
rnacentral:lncRNA from 1 species